UGAGGGAAAGAAAAAAAUAGUACCAUACCUCAGUCAUCCGGUGGUCUAUAAACGACCUCACACCUUUCUUCCCCAUGGACUUUUCUUCCCCUCUUCUCGCCUGCUCCCAUGCCCCCUUUCUAUCCCGCGGCGCCGACUCACCUCCACGAGAACCGCCGACUCCCAACGCCUGCUGCCCCGGUCUCCGUUGGGGUCGCCGGCAACGAGCUUCCACCAGGAGACAGGCGGCCAUGGCCACCUUCGAGCUGUACCGGAGGUCCACCAUCGGCAUGUGCCUCACCGAGAUGCUAGACGAGAUGAUCUCCAACGGCACCCACCCCGGAGCUCGCAAUUCAGGUCCUCGUCCAGUUCAACAAGGUGGAAAUGCUCCUCGUCUAAUUUUAUCUCGGUGUGUGGUUUUCCAAUUUGGCUAGCUAAUGGCAUAGUCCUAUACGGACUGGAGAUGUAAAGUGGUGGCAGAUGUCGGUUUGGCUAGUUCUAUACGGACCGGAGAUGUAAUCAGUUUGGAAGUGGUGGAAAGUGACGGCCAAGAAGAAAGAUCGACUGAAAUUUUGGCUCUUUAUAUAAUACUAGCAAAAAUGCCCGUGCAUUCCAACGGAAAAAAAAAA